rnacentral:rRNA from 2 species
GACAGCCAGGAUGUUGGCUUAGAAGCAGCCAUCAUUUAAAGAAAGCGUAAUAGCUCACUGGUCGAGUCGGCCUGCGCGGAAGAUGUAACGGGGCUAAACCAUGCACCGAAGCUGCGGCAGCGACGCUUAUGCGUUGUUGGGUAGGGGAGCGUUCUGUAAGCCUGCGAAGGUGGCCUGUGAGGGUUGCUGGAGGUAUCAGAAGUGCGAAUGCUGACAUAAGUAACGAUAAAGCGGGUGAAAAGCCCGCUCGCCGGAAGACCAAGGGUUCCUGUCCAACGUUAAUCGGGGCAGG